CCAGUCUCUGCUCGGCUACCCAGGACGAUAGCAAACACAACUUCUGCCCAUUAAUGAUGUGUCCCUGGCUCAAAAAAAGAAGGCAGUAGAAGAUGUGGAGCUUGAGAAGAGAUCCAGAGAGGAACAACAACAUACCAUUCAAGAAAUGCUGCAUUAUCUCACAUAUUACAAGAAGAAGAGAGAGAUUUUAACCGAACAUACUAACGAGUUAUGUGGAAUUUUCCCUUCAUAUCUAAGCAAGGAUCCUAACAAGUACACUAUUGAAGAGAAGCACUUAUCACCCAAAAAUAAUAGUGGAAUCCUGGCUCUUUUGAAGCAAGGGCAAAAGUUGUGUACUGACAAGCUGAUUACUACUGGCCUCCAUUGUCUUGCCUGCACUUUGUUUCCCAUCAAUCAUAUCACUCAUUCUUACAGGUUUGAGACAGAGAGGGACAAGAUCAUCCAAGAGGAACAACCGCAACAGUGUGGGAAGUGGGCGAAGUGUUACCCGUUACCGCACAUCGGCGAUCUACAAUAGUUUCUCCACAAAGAUACAAACCAAUGCCGUUCUCUCAAAUAGACUAUGUGGCUGUUAGAGAAAAAGGAAAUUUUAUGGUAAACAUGUUCAUACUAUCCCCAAGUCGAUCGGAUAAGAAUUGAAUUUUUUAGAAAUAUUUGUUCGUCGGACAUAAAAAUAUGUCUACUCGGGCAGCUUCAAGUGACCCCCGAUAGACACGAUCUUGUGUCCGCGGGGGGAGUAAAGUGUUUAUUAAUAAAAACAAAAUCGCCCUUCUUGGGUUCAGUCAUCCUGGCUGCUUUAAUUUGUUCCGAACCAUAAUGGAAACUGACCCAAGUAUAGGAUGGAUUAGCCCAAGUAUCGCGUUUUCAAAAGGGUCGCCCGUGUUGGAAAAGACGAACGCUGAAAGAAUAUUGUUGAAAACAUCUUGAUACAAUACAAUACAAUACAAUACAAUACAAUUUUAUUUAGGUAAGGUACAUACAUACAAUAAAUUUUUACAAGGAUU